UACGUAGGGUGCGAGCGUUAAUCGGAAUUACUGGGCGUAAAGCGUGCGCAGGCGGUUUUGUAAGCCAGAUGUGAAAUCCCCGGGCUUAACCUGGGAAUGGCAUUUGGGACUGCAAGGCUGGAGUACGGCAGGAGGAGACUGGAAUUCCUGGUGUAGCAGUGAAAUGCGUAGAGAUCGGGAGGAACAUCUGUGGCGAAGGCGACUGCCUGGACCAGCACUGACACUGAGGCACGAAAGCGUGGGGAGCAAACAGG
rnacentral:rRNA from 1 species